UACAGAGGUCUCAAGCGUUGUUCGGAUUCAUUGGGCGUAAAGGGUGCGUAGGCGGCGCGGUAAGUCGGGUGUGAAAUCUCGGAGCUUAACUCCGAAACUGCAUUCGAUACUGCCGUGCUUGAGGACUGGAGAGGAGACUGGAAUUUACGGUGUAGCGGUGAAAUGCGUAGAUAUCGUAAGGAAGACCAGUGGCGAAGGCGGGUCUCUGGACAAUUCCUGACGCUGAGGCACGAAGGCCAGGGGAGCAAACGGG
rnacentral:rRNA from 1 species